UACGGGGGGAGCAAGCGUUGUUCGGAUUUACUGGGCGUAAAGGGCGCGUAGGCGGCCACUGCAAGUCAGUUGUGAAAUCUCCGGGCUUAACCCGGAAAGGUCAACUGAUACUGCAGGGCUAGAGUGCAGAAGGGGCAACUGGAAUUCUCGGUGUAGCGGUGAAAUGCGUAGAUAUCAGGAGGAACACCGGUGGUGCAGACGGCUCUCUGGACCGUAACUGACGCUGAGACACGAAAGCGUGGGUAGCAAACAGG
rnacentral:rRNA from 1 species